GAUUAUCCAUGUGCGCCUGCAUAUCGGGUUUAUAUAACAUUCAUUGCAACCAACAACAAUGACAUGAACGAGCUAGGCAAGCAAAAGUGUAAGUCAAUUUGGACCUAUUUAUACAAAAAUCAUCGCAACCAAUAACAUAAAAUUUGUUCAUACAACGUUCACCCCUUUCAAGAACCCUACGUGAACUCCAAGUUGAGAUGCAGUCACCGUGGAAGGGGUUAAGGCAUCUUCAUCCACUGUCUUCUGCACGUCAAUAACCAAAAACGAUAUAAUGAGAUCAAAGUUAUCAUGGAAGUUAAUUUGGUAAACUCAAAUAUAUAGCACUUCCGACAAGAACACUGAACUGAACAAAUAACGACAUGAUGGUGCUCUUAUAUACAUAAAGAAGAAAAAACAUCAGCAAACUAGAAAGUACUCCACAAGACUGCAAUGCUGAAGUAUAAUGAAAUCCAUAAUCCAAAGCAAAGAGUGGAAGCUAAAAUUUAAACUUCUAACCUUUGUUACUCAAAAUUGGAGUGCUAAAUUUGACAAGCCUCAUGAAAUAUAUAGAUACAUUCCCA
rnacentral:lncRNA from 1 species